AUAUAGUUGUAUUUAUCAAUAAUAUCUUAGUCUAUAGUAAAAUCUCUUAGGAGUAUGAAUAAUAUCUAUCGAAAGUACUACGCUUGCUACAAGUUAGUUGAUUCUAUUGCAAGCAAUCAAAGUAAGAACUUUAGAAGUUGGAGGUCACCUUUUUGAAGCAUGUCAUGUCCUCAAAAGGCAUACACAUGGACUAGGAUAAGAUAAAAGCUAUAAAGGAUUAGCCAACCUUCGAGGAUGCUUCUCAAGUCUACUCAUUCUUAGGCCUUGCUGGAUAUU
rnacentral:lncRNA from 1 species